rnacentral:rRNA from 1 species
UAUGGAAUCUUCGGUAAUGGGGGCAACCCUGACCGAGCAACGCCGCGUGAGUGAAGAAGGUUUUCGGAUCGUAAAGCUCUGUUGUAAGAGAAGAACGUGUGUGAGAGUGGAAAGUUCACACAGUGACGGUAACUUACCAGAAAGGGACGGCUAACUACGUGCCAGCAGCCGCGGUAAUACGUAGGUCCCGAGCGUUGUCCGGAUUUAUUGGGCGUAAAGCGAGCGCAGGCGGUUUAAUAAGUCUGAAGUUAAAGGCAGUGGCUUAACCAUUGUUCGCUUUGGAAACUGUUAAACUUGAGUGCAGAAGGGGAGAGUGGAAUUCCAUGUGUAGCGGUGAAAUGCGUAGAUAUAUGGAGGAACACCGGUGGCGAAAGCGGCUCUCUGGUCUGUAACUGACGCUGAGGCUCGAAAGCGUGGGGAGCAAACAGG